rnacentral:lncRNA from 1 species
ACUAAUAACAAUAACCCUAAUUCCAUAAGGAAUAAAAAUUCCAAAAGGAAUGUAAAACCCUAGCUCACAAACCAAUAUGGAAAUCAAAUCCUAUCUAAUAUAACUCUUAGAUACAAUAGAAAUCUAAAAUAUACUGAAAAUAGCUAAUUAAGGAAGUAAAUUCACGCCCAAAUAUGUCAAAACGCGUAAAAACUCAAACUGAAAAUCGUCAAACCCACCGGGGGAAGGCUUUUUUUGGCAUGGGAAGCCCGCCGAGGCGGCAUUGGGCAUUGAGGAAUGGGCUAGGGUGGAGCCAAAACGCGUUGGGGCGGCAUUGGGCAGAGAUAAGAUCAUCGAAGCGGGCUUUUAUGCCUUAGAAACCCGUCGGAACGGGUACAAAUUUCCUAAUGCGACGUCCUUUGGUAAAAUGGCCAUAACUUUCUCGUACGAACUCCGAUUAAGAUGAUUCAAGAGUCUCCGAAAAGAAAACGAAUAGCUAUACAACUUGCAUUCUUUGAGGAUCAAAAGAUUCUAGCUAGAUCAAGGUCGAAAUCGAGCUUAAAGUGAAUGUUAUGUAUUUGGCAAGUUGAAAACGCCAAGCGUUGAUCUCGGUUGCAUGAUGAACGCAUUGCCUUGCGCCUUCAUUGCAUGCAUUCCAAUCUUGUGUUGUCGCAUUAUAGAUUGUAAGCUCUUAUCCAUGCAACGUACACAGCACCAAUUGACUUGAACUCCAAUGUAAGCAUCAUCGGGUUGAAUUCAGCCCAACUACUCCCAAUCAUUCGUUGAACCUUUGGAACUUGAGUUGAGUCAUUAUUGUUUGAUGCGAGCCCAGUCAGGAUGUUAUCAUUCCCCUCCUCUUGAAAAGGAUUUGUCCUCAAAUCUGGCAUCCCCUCCUCUUGAAAAGGAGUUAUCCACACCUGUCCCUACAUAAAAACAAACUAAGUUAGUAGCAUCAAGCAGAUCAUAAUGCCAAAAAUCAACUAGCAAAUGACAUAUAAGCAUCAAAUACUCCAACUCCCACUAAAAACAUAGCAAAGUCGGACUUCUCUCAUGAAUUAACAAUUGUAGUCUGGUUACUCCCAAAACACUAACUAUAUAAACUAAUCUACUAUCUACUAAAAUAAUCAUGAAUGCAAAGUAAAAAAGAAACUCAAAAGUCCAAUAUCCUCCUGGAUCAAAAAUCAUCACUCAUAACUCUUCAUGUGGUAGAUUCUCCCAAUGACGAAUCAUCGGAUCAAAAGUCAAUCUAAUGAUCUCGGUCCUUUGCAAACAAAACCAAUUUAAUGAUCAUGGAUCAAAUGUCAACUUUUGAAACUCAUUAUGUCGCACAAACCCAUACACCUGAAUUCCUGAAUUAAACAUAAAACACAAUGAAUCAACAAGUAUUUUUUGUCUAAUCAUGAAGAAUUCAAAUAAAUCAAAAUCACAUGCAUAGUCUACUAGAACAAUAUUAAAAACACUUCCAUGUAGAUGUCCUAUGCAUUGAACGGAAUGAAUUGCAUGAUCCAUGAUUCUCUCGAUGAAUAUGAUCCCAUCACGAAUCCGCAAAAUACUACCAACCUUCCUCUUUCCAUUGACAUUAACAAUUUCAAGAUCAAGUAAUAGCAUCAAUGGAGCCAAAAGGUCACAAUCACAAGAUGAAAACUUAAUAGCAUAUCGACGAUGAUAACAAACAAGCUCAACACAUGCUAUAACAAAUUAUUGACACAAAUUGGAAUAUCAUCAAAACAGAUAUUAACAAAUUCUCCCAUGAAAGAAUGAAAAAUAUGAUCCAACAAUCCCAUGGAAGUAUGCAAUGUUUUAGCUAAUUCAAGUGAACUAACUAAACAUGCAAAUAACUUAUAUUUCAAUCCAUCUUGAUGAUAAAAACUUCUCAAAUCAAAACCAUAUGAUAGCAACUCAUGCAAGGAAGAUUGCUCUAACGGACAAGCAUGAACACAACCAUUGUCAACUAACAAAAAAUCAUGUAAAGAUUGACUAACAUGAAACCUUAAGUAAACAUAUAGGUGAGAAAACCUAGAAUAAAUUUAAUGCAAGUACGAACAUCGAAAAUGAGAAUAUAUAUAUAUAUAUAUAUAUAUAUAUAUAUAUAUAUAUAUAUAUNNNNNNNNNNNNNNNNNNNNNNNNNNNNNNNNNNNNNNNNNNNNNNNNNNNNNNNNNNNNNNNNNNNNNNNNNNNNNNNNNNNNNNNNNNNNNNNNNNNNAAAUAUAAAAUAUUCACUAUAGUUCAUGAUAAAGACGAUUCUACCCUCAAAAUAGCUAAACAAAAUUUUUCAAUGGAAGCAUGAAAAAUAUGUUUUAAAUAACUCAUGAAAAUACUAGAUGCAGUAGUUAAUCUAACAGAAAUAACUAAUCAUCUAUACAAAUCACAUGUUAAAACAAUUUUCCAUUUAUAACAAUCUCUCAUGCUAAAUUGAUUAGGCAUUGUCAUCACAUGAUCAUUAUCACAUGUAGAUAAAACAUAAGAACUAUGCAAUUUACCAAACAUAUUAUCUAAACAAAGAAAAGAAUAACGAUACUUGUUUACCAAUUUAAAAGCGUCGUCUUGUACAAAUGUACAGUCAUUGGUUUUUCAAAAUAAAAAUCACUUUCCAACUCACUUUCUUUUUCAUAGUCAUGUAUUUCUUCUCUCUUCUUUAUGCUCACCCUCUCGUUUAUUUUUCUCUCAUUUAUUUUCAAACUCACUCUUUUCAUUCUCUCUUUUCUUUUCUCUCUCAUUCUUUUCAACUUUUUCUUUUACAAACUCAUCUUCUUGAUCACUAGGACCCAAUAUCUCUCUUUGGACUGCAUAUUCAAUUAUAUCUUCUUCCUCCCUCGGUUGAACUUGUUCCUUUUGCGCCGUAGAAGUAUAUUGUAGUUGCAUCCAAUAAUCUUCUCUUAAGUUCUUUGUUGUCUUAUGGUUGUCUCCAAUGCGAAUCCUUUUUGUUUACAUGUCCGCAACCCCUCUUAUUAUCGUCUACUAGAGCAAACCGAUUUCUCAUUACUAUUUUUAAUUCUGCCCAUGAUCGGACGCUCUCUAUAUAUUCUUUUGCUCAACUCCCACUAACGAACCACACGAUCGGAGAACUCUUGAAAUGCAUGUCUGAUCUUCCCACGCUCGAAAUAAUCAUUAUAGGCAAACUCCUGAUCCAUCCUUUUCUCUCAUCUCAAAUAAGCAUAUGUAUCAAACCUGCCUUGGAAAAUAUUCCUUCGAGACCCCUAAGAACUUUAAUAAUUGUAACCAUACAUGUUUGCUGCAAAAUAAAGGUUAGUAGAUAAAAAAUUUCCUCACACACUCCCUUACGUGUUUCGCUCAUACAAUGAUGAAUCACUCGUGUAUACACUCAAUUUGGCUUUCACCCUCUAAUAAUUUAAACUCUUGUCUUUUAUCUCUAAUAUUCUCUCUUAUAGGUUCUUUUUGAAUUCACCAAACAAAUUCACAGUUUAAUAAUGCAAUUCAAAAGUAACUUAUCAAGACUAAAAUAUAGAAGGUAUGACUAUCGGAAUACCACAAAAAUCACAGAUUGAUUGCCUUGUACUCCUCUUGUAUGCCUCUGAAUUUUCCGAGUAAGUUUUUCUCGAAAACUUAUUGUGUUGCUUGUCGGAAUUGAUAAUAUUGAAUGAAUUAAUAAUGUUUACAUCCAUGUAGCUUAUUUAUACUAAUAACAAUAACCUUAAUUUCAUAAGAAAUAAGAAUUCCAAAAGGAAUGUAAAACCCUAGCUCACAAACCAAUAUAGAAAUCAAAUCAUAUCUAAUAUAACUCCUAGAUACAUUAGAAAUCUAAAAGAAACUGAAAAUAGCUAAUUAAGGAUGUAAAUUUGCGUCCAAAUCUGUCAAAAUGCGUAAAAACUCAAAUUGGAAAUCGACAAACCCGUCGGGGCGGGCUUUUUAGGCCUAGGAAGCCUGCCGAAGCGGCAUUAGGCAGAGAGGAAUGGGUUGGGGUAGCAUUAGGCAAAGACAAACCCGCCGAGGCGGGAUUUUAUGUCUUGAAAACCCGCCGAAGCGGGUACAAAUUUUUUGACGCAACGUCCUUUGGUAAAAUGGUCAUAACGUUCUCAUCUGAACUCUUAUUGAGAUGAUUCAAGAGGCUCCGAAAAGAUAACGAAUAGCUCUACAACUUUAUUCUUUAAAAAACAAAAGAUUAUGGCUGAAUCAUGGUCGAAAUUGAGCUUAAAGUGACUAUUAUGUAUUUAGCAAGUUGAAAACGCCAAGCUUUGAUCUCGGUUGCAUGAUGAACGCACUGCCUUGACUCUUAAACCCUUCUUCUUCGUUCUAUCCAUUCCAACCUUGUGUUGUCGCGUGUUAAAUUGUAAGCUUCUAUCCAUGCAACGUACACGGCAUCAAUUGACUUGAACUCCAAUGUAAGCAUCCUCAUGUUGAAUUCAGCCCAACUAAUCUCAAUCAUUCGUUGAACCCUUAGAACUCGAUUUGAGUCGUUUUUGUUUGAUGCGAGCUCGGUCAUGAUGUUAUCAGGAUAUUAACACCAGUAAAUAAUCAGUAUGUAGGAUUUUUUUUUUGAAUUACCAUAAUAAUCUCUUGAGAAUAUUUGAUUUUGUAAAUCCCUUGAUUUCAAUUUAGGUGAUUUUGUAAAUCCCUUCAUUUUUACUUAGGUGGUUAUCAUACAUGUAUAUAUAUAUAGGACAACACUAUUUGUAAACUAUACAAGAAAUAUAAUACAAAAGAUUAACUUUAUCUCGUUUCAAUAAAAAGCACAAAAUUGGAAGGUUACAUAACCUUAAAGUUCUUAAACUGAAAAUGUGUGCAUGCUUCGGAGAGCGGUGGGCGAUGGUGGCUUUCGUUGCCUUAAAUACUUGAAGUUGAAACAAGUAGAUAUUGUGCAAUGGAAUGCCUCCGGUGAGCAAUUCCCAAACCUUCAACACUAAAAGUUGGUUUCUUGUCAGCGACUAAAGGAGAUUCCAUUAGGUUUAGGAGAUAUAUAUAUAUAUAUACACCAUGGAGACGAUUGAGGUCAGGGAUUCAAAGGUCUCGUCUCUUCUUGUCAUUCCCUGUAAUGUUUAAUAUUUUUUAUUUUAUUUUUAUAUUAGGAUUCUUUACUUGGUCGUUAAAUCUUAGAGUUGAAUAUCGAGUUGUAAUGUUUAAUAUUUUUUGAGAUUAUUGGAUAUAUAUUGAUUUGAGAUUAAAAUUUCGUGUUUUUGUGUGUUUCGCUCUGUCACGCUUUGGAUACGCACCCGACACAUGUCCGCGAGCUCCUCUUUCCUUUUAAAAAAAAACUUAAGACACGCCACGGACAAGUCGGUACACGCUAGAGGACAGGCCUCGGGUCAAAAUUAAAAAAAAAACAAUUGUAGUUCUUAAAUUGCAAAUAAUAGUUAUGGGUUAUUUUAUGUCUUUUAAAUUUGGACAUUAUUAUGUAAGAUAUUUAUUAUGCAAUGUGUUUGUGUUUCUUAUUAUUUUGUUCAAGUUUUUAUCAUGCUCGAUUAAUAUUAAAUUAUCUAUUACAAAAAACACAUUUAUAUUAUUAUAUACAUGUAUAUAAAAUUGAACGUGUCUCUGACGUAUCGUAUCCUGUUUUUUUUUAAAAUGUUGUGUCAUGUGUUGCGUAUCGUAAUACGUCCCGUGUCGAAGUGGUGCUUCAUAGAUGAAACACGCAUUAUCCCUAAUCAAUAUAUAAUGUAAAGUUGUAGUGCUCUAUAGUUAGUGUUUGAUUAUUUUUUUGUAUAUAUUAAAUCAAUAUCUUACACAUGCAUAAAAUUAUACUUUUAAUAAGUCUACUAUCACAUAAAAUCGCUCACAUACACUCACAUGCAUAUUUUAAUGGCCUACGUGCAGAGCAAAUCACGUGUGCAUGUGAGUGUAUGUAAGCAGUAUGUGAGUGAUUUCAUGUAAUAGUAGACAUAUUUUUAUACUUUAAAUAUAUACAUAUCUAUUUAUUUUAAUUCCUUCAAUAUGUAAACCUCUCUAAACUUCUGCUUUUCCAGUAUAAUUUUUUCAUGCUGCAAAAUUAUACUGGAAAAGCAGAAGUUUAGAGAGGAAGAGGAGUGUUGAGAGAGAGAGAGAGAGAGGACAUUUUAGUAGUUUUGUUAUGGACCAAACAAAUUUUUUGGGUGGGUGUAAUUCUUGAAUGAGAAAAAUGAGAUAAAAUGUAAAUGUGGCCACUAAACUUUAGGUAUUUUUGGGUUUUGAGUCCCUUUCUUUUGGUCAACGCAAAUCGAACCUCAUUUUAUUCGAAAAUUUGGAUAUUGAGCUCCCUAGGUGCCACAUGUGCGUUGACCUGCCUACGCGGCACACAUGGCACACCGCUGACGUGUACUCUUUCCAAAACUAAUUCCCAAAAUUAUGUUGCUCCUCAAAAUUGAACCUAAGACCUCAAGUUUAAAAUUGUGGCUAUGAGACCACCCGAAUAAAUUAUAUACUAAAUCAAUUCAUUUCUCCCCAAAAUAUAAUUUCAUUUUAAGAAAUAAAAUAAAAUAAAUAAAUAUUAAAAUAAUUAAAACACACACUAACACACACCAAUAUACAGUAUUUGGAUAGGACUUGGAAUUAGAUAGGAUUAGGAUUUAGGAAAAGUGGAAGGUAGCUCCAAGAUAUUUAACAGAGCUUAAAAUCCAUCCAGACAAUAAAAAAAAAUCAGUAGAUAUGAAUAUUUUUCGACUCUUCUUGCUAAAAAACCGAACAACGGAUAAUAAUUAGGGAGAAAAAUUCAUACCAAAUUGGCGACCACAACCGAACCCCGCCACAACCAUCCAAUCGACAACAUAUAUCGCUAUAUCCAAUCCACUACCACCAAUUUAUCAUCUAUAUGUCCUUCCUAAAACGCAGGCCGAUAACCACCACUCCGUCGAAGAUAUUACUACCGCUUAUUUUUCCUGCACAAAAGGCACUAUCUACCAACAUCGUCGCUGCUUGAGCCGACUUAGAGUGAAUCGUUAUCUUUCACACCAUCUACAUCGUCGUCAGAAAAGAGUAUGUCGGCCAAGCCCGGUUCUGGGUUUCCGUCGACGGUCAAGAUUGCCGGUCUGGGAACAGAAAGGAUUACCGAUCUGAAUGGAACGGAAAGGAUCGUCGAUGAUUUGCAGAUCGUAUUAUUUGGGCCUUUGAAUGUUUGAAAUUAAAAAAUAUUAUUGGGACUAUGAUUUUGGAUUUUUUUUUUUAAUAGAGGGAGGGUAAUGCUUAUUUUUUAAAGGUUUUUUGUAUUUUUUU